ensembl:lncRNA
UCAUAUUUUACUCAGUCUUUUAGAAGAUAUUUACAGAUACUGGAAAUUAAAUGGGAUGGCGUAUAAAUGCGUUACACAUCAAGGGUGGUAAUUAGUUGCAUCAUCUUUGAUAGCACAGUGGGGCAAUCUAAGAAUGUCCUUAGCUCUUGAGUGGAUUUCUCCUCACUGAAUCAAAAUUGUUCCUUUCAUUACAACAGACUUUUCUCCCAAGUACAUCCUGUCUAUUGAGUUUCAUUGAAUUUUUAAAGUAUGAAAAGAUUAAAGUGUGUUUUACUGUUAAGGUAAUUUGAAUCAGAAUAAAGGCAAAAAGGUAAAGAGUACCUUAAAUGAAAAGUAUUUUAACUUAGAGCCUAAUUAGCAGAUUUACAAGGAAAUUCUUGGAAAACUGAGUCUGUCCCCAGAGUGUAAGUUCUGUAAAGCUGAAGGAGUAGCAAGUACCAACACUUCCUGUUAUAUAUCCAAGUGCUAAUUGAUCUAGAAUUAUGGCUACACUAGCUUCAUCAAAAUAGUAUCCUGGAACUGUGAUGCUAAGAUUUGUCAAAAAUAGGCAUUGAAUAUCACUCUUUUUGCUGCUCUCUGUUGUACAAUAAAAGGCAUCGAUUGAGUUUGGCCUUUGAAAUAAACUGUGUCUACAAAACUGUAUCCAUAUUGUUUUUCCCUGCAGAAGCUUUGCAAAUAGACGUACUAUAACUACCAAAUGCUUUUGGUCAGACAGCUAUAAGAGACGAGACAUUUUGUCUGCUGCCUUUUCAGUGUGGCUUACUCCUGGGAGAUGCAUUUGAAAUCUGAUCUAACUUCACCAGUUAUCCAUCAUAUUUUUUACAAUUUUCAUUGAUGCUGGAGGCUUCAGUUAACCCAUGGCAACACAACUGUUUAUCUCAGCUUCUGGUGAGCUUAAUGUGUUUAUUGGUCUCUCAUGGGCUAAUGGAACCUCUAGUUGUGCUCUCAAAAAUGGAAUUCACUCAAAACAGGCUCGUCCAGCCUGUUCCACCGGGAAUGUGAUGCAUGUUCUUCAUUGCUAAUUGAGCAGAGUUCAUUUUACUGUAGCUGGGCUUUCACUCAAAGGUUAAUAAUGCUGAAAAGGACCUAUUGAUUAUAGCUUUCAGUGAGCUUUUGACCCAGAGUUCCAAAUUUUUGUCACAUAUUUACAACUUGUAUCAUAACUAACACUUAUAUGACCUCUUCCCAAUAGGUUCUAGAAUUGCAUAGGCAGCAAACGAGUCAGAGGACAUGGCAAAAUGAGACAGUGUGACUUUUUUUGAGUCACAGAGGUUGCAAACAGCAGCUGCCAAUCAUGGUGACAGGCAGCUGCAAUCAUAAAACAUUUUAUGGUAGUUACAUGUGUCAGUCUCUUCCAGCUCAUUAUGGAUUUUAAUGUUUAAUUAGUUUAGCAAUUAAUUAUUCAUUAGAGAUGAAUGAAAUUCUGAAUUUCUAUCCUGUGAGAAAUUCCAAUAAUUCAACAUGGAUUUGUUUGCCAAAUUGAGAUGAAUCAUAUCCCUAAAUUUCAGAUGUCUCGAGUUGGAGAGCCAUACUAGUAUGUCUAAAUCUAUGUCUAAUGCUUGAAUACAGGGUAGACUCACUCUGGAUAUUGUACUAAUCUGUCUUGAAAGCUUGGGAUUUAGUAAUGCUAAUGUGACUAAUGGAUCCACAGCACCUGGUUCUCAAUAAUGCUAAUGGCCUUGUCACUCUGUCAGUGGGUAUCUCCAAGCCCUGGUGCAAGAGAGGAGGGAGAGAGAGAGAAGGGGACAGAGGGACACACUAGCAGCCUGCUUAUUAAUUGUGGAUUUCACCUUCUUUCUGGUUAUGCUAACCAUAUUGCCAGGGAUCAGGAGCAGGGGGGUAUCAGUCACACAUGCUAAAUCCCAUUAAGAUAGGAAUUCAAUUACCUUCCCAUGUGUAACUCUGAGUAUACUCAACUGAGAAAAAGCUGCAAAUAUUUUCAGGAGUUGCGGACCCAACGACACCUGCCUUACUGCCUAUUUGUGUCUUAACUAAGGCCUAUCUGAAUUUCUGCUGCUGAUACAUGAUAAAGUUCUUUUAAAGUACUUUUAUUUCUGGGGAAUGUGUUUUCCUCUGUCUUGUCACUUGUUUUCUGCAGAACUCAAUAGAAACCUUAUAUUCUACUUCUCCAUUAAAUCUGCUUGAGGUUGGCUAACUGAUUCCAAGGUUACAAGGGAAGGGCAACUGACAGAAAGUGUAGUUACAGAAAUCCUGUAUUCUAGGGAAAAAAAAAAAAAAAAAGAUACAUGGAAAACCAGUUAAAAGAAGCCAUCCUGGUAGCUAUUGACUCUUUCUGCGCUGUCUUUAAUAAAUAAUGUGAUGCAGUGGGGAAACAUAGUGAAAGCUGCCUCCACUGUUAGGUUGUCAUGUAACAGUCAGGCCCGCAUGCAGUGCCACAUGAGUUUGAUAUGACCAUUCAUUAGAAACUGCAGUAUUGAGAUUAAGCAACCAACAGAUACUUGGAUUUCAACUGGCUACACUGGUCCAGGAUCUUACCUAUGUACACGAAUGUAACUUACAGUGAAUUGUUGGAUUAAUUUCUUUGUGAGAAUCUUUUCUGUUUGCAUUGGGGUAGUAAUGAGGAAUGUUUGUUUUACAUUGAGUAGAAAUAGGGAUUUUUGCAUAUUAACAGGAAUAUAUUUGGGAUUUUGUGAUUAGCUUAAUUAAGUGAUGUACCAUAUCGGGAUAUUAUAUAAAGUGAAAGACUUACUUGAAAAUCAAGUAUACCUCUUGAUCGUGGCUAUCUGGGGUUUUGAAUGUUACUGGCUCCUGUGCAUUGCCCCUUGAUCUUCAGAAGAGUGAUCCCAUGGCUGAGAUAUGCAGUGCUUGCAGCUCCAAAUGGAUCCAUCCCACUGUAGCUGGCACUGCUCUGGAAAGUCAGCUAUUUCCAGAAAAACGGACAGCACCACACAUCCUCUCCUACACCAUUCCUAGUGCUAGACUUUGGCAGCUCUUUUCACGUUCAUUAGAGUUCAUUUGAGUGAAUAAACCUCAAAAGCAUGAAAAAUCCAGAAAAAUUUCAGUUACCUUUGACAGUCUGCCAAGGUCCACAGCCUUUAAAAUUCUUAAAGGUAAUACUGCUCAGAAGUGCAAGUUCUAAGAUACUGAGGAAAGGAAAAACAAGUGGGUCAGAGAGCAAGCUUGCCUGAAUUAUCUGUUGCUUCACAGCUGCUAGCAGCCUCCUGCUAUGGCCAGCAAAUCCUCUGUGUCUGGCUGAGGUAUCUAGCUGCAGGUACACAGAUGUUCUCCUAGCAAACAAUCAGCAUUGUCUUUGAAUUUCCACUGAAAUUCACUUUCUUCCUCUUUAAGCGCUCCCUUUUGCCACUGAGAAGAUUUAGUACUUUUUGAGAGAGGGGGAAAUUAAAUUACCUUAAGAAACAAGACUGAUGGACUGGAGAGGUGGAAGAAAAAAAAAAAAAGACUGAAAUUCUCAGCUGUUCUCUAGGGUGAUUAAAUUCUACUUGCAGGAAGUGCCUCAUGUUAAACCUGCAAGCUGUACUAGGAUGGGUCUGUAAGCUACAAAAGGACCACUUGUAGUUGUAGCACGUGUAUUUAUUGCUUGAGGCAAUCCUGUAUUGAAUGGGUACAAUUGAAUAACAGGAAGGGCUGACAGUGUAAGGAUUCCUGCUUUCUCUCCUUAUUCCAAAGCAGUAUGAGACACCCCUGAGGUAUAUGAUGAAUUGUUUCAUUACAGCACUGAAAAAAGAGUUAGCUGCUUUUCAUCUAGUCCUACUCAUUUCAGUUAUGGAAGUUAUGUCCUUAAUUAUCUGUACUUUGUAGGACAUCUGCCCAUGGAGCUGGUUUGGGGAUGUCUUUUCUGGGCUGUACUAUGUGUGGGUUUGUUGGGUUUGAUGCUCUCUGCUGAGGAUCCUUAGACCCUAACAUAACGAGCUGGACAAGAGCAAAAAUGGACUUAGUAGGUCAGGAAAGCAGUUUAGCAGAACAAGAAGCAUGCUACAGAUCUCCUGCUUCACAACUCAAUUCCUUGCCACGUGUACCAUUCCACCAUCCCCUUUGCUGAACCAUGAAGUCAGGAGAAAGCAAAGACCUGAACCUUGUGAAAGUUUCCCAUUUUAAAUUGGGUUUGUCCCUUGAGAACAACUGAGGAAAAAAUGACUGUGCAGAACUGGUUCCUAGAAAACAGAUACUCCUACAAACACUGCUGAAGGAUGGAAUGGUCAGGACGGUGCGUGAAAUCAACUUCCUUUGCCCCUUUGGUUGUGCUAUACCUAAAACAUGCCAGCUGAGCAGAGUUAAAUCAGCCGACUCACUUGCAGUUCACAUUGAAUAAGAGGAGUAACUGAACCAGCUAGGCUCCAGUGCCCCUGACGUUCUGAAAGACCAAAGUCUGCUGACCCCCUUUUCCUGCUGGAGAAGCAUUUAGAUAACUGUUCAGUCUACAGCAUGUUUGGUAAACAAACUUGAUGGAUUGGGUGGCAGAUUUAAUUUAAGUAGAGGAAUAGAGAGGUGUGCAAUUAUUAGUCAAUUACACAUCCAUUAAUAGGCUACUGCACUGAACUAUUAAUCAUUUGUGAACUUAAUUCUUUCCCCUCUCUUCCUUUAAAGGGCAGAUGCAGCUUUGAAAGAGAGAAAUGCUUCAGGAUAGACCCGUUGUCAUUGGAGAACAAGCCCAUCCCAGCUACAGCAUCAGCCAGUGGAAAGGAAACCUUGCUGAGAAAAUCAGAAGGGAAGCAUGGAACAGCUGGAGGUGCAGGACAGGGAGUGGAAAGGGCAGGAAAGGCAGUUAUGCCUCUUCUGUGGUACUGUGGUCAUUGGCAACUGGAGAUGUACCCAGUGGCUGGGCAGUAAGGUAUGUCGUUGUAUGUGCACCUUUACUCCUGGAUGGACUUGUACACCGGUACCAACCUGCAGAUUGAGUGUACCUGAAGACAGGGUCAGAUAAGGAGAAGUGGAGAGGACCCUUCCAGACUUUACUCACCACCCAUGCAGCAGUCAGACUCAAGGGAAUCAGCCUAUGGAUUCACUGCAGUAGAGUCAAGCAGGUUUCUCAUAACAAUAAGUAAUGCAUUUAUUAACGGUGAGGGAAUGAAUGUGAAAGUGAAAAUUUGGUUUUAACAUUAAUACAAGGGUUUGGUAGGAUGUGCAAUGUCACUAGCAUCUGCGUAAUCAUAAUUAUAAGAGGUAUAGGACUGUAUAAGAUGUAUUAAAAGAUAUUUUGAAAGAAAUAUGUGGAAGUAAUUAGAAGAACUAACUAUUUACUUCCCAAGGAGGAAAUUGAUACCUGGCAAUUAAUUAACCACAGGCCCCUUGCAAGGACCCCAUACUAACACAGAGCGUGUGCAGUAUUAGAUUUUAACAUAUAUAGUAAUUCUUGUAAUAGGCAGGCACUCUGUGGAAAAUGUAUGAAUAUUCACACAUGUUCAGUGUAUCUGUGUAUAUCUAUCAAUGUAUCUAUUCAAUCAAUCUGUGUGCUUUUAGCUCCUGGCUUUGCACGUUAGGCGGAGCAAUCCCCUGUGCAUCCAGUAACACAAUAACAAUAUUGUCACAAUAACAAAUGCCUGCUUCUUAAUGCUACAUUAGCAUUAAUGAGUUUUGUUCCUGAUUUCAGUGGCAGAAUUGGUGUUAUUUCUUUUUUUUUUCUUUUUUUUUUUUUCCCCCACCAAGUAUGAGGGCAAGACAUUAUGUGGGUGUAUGAGGUAUCUUUAGAUAUGCAGUGAGACAACUCAGGCACUGGGGAAAACUCAUCUCUGGAUACUGUCUCUGUCUCCCAUUUUAUUUAAGUUUCUUUCAGCUGCUGCCAUGAGCCCAGGAUAUCUCUUUUCAGCUGGCAGGAGCUGACAUAGCAGAAAUAGCUAUCAAAUAUGAUAUAGGUUCUCCCUUUGAAUGCUCCUUCUUGCACCAUUCUUGGUACAGUUUAGGGUACCAGUAGAAGAAAUGAAGAAAGCAGACAUCAAAGAUACUGCACAAGGUCAGUCAGCACCGAGAAGAGCCAACCGUCCUUCUAUAUCUGAUGCAAAGUGCCACAUCUUAGCUUUGUUUUCUUUUUCAAAAACUCUACUGGAAUUUGAAGAGGUUUUAAAACACCAGUACAUGAUUUGAAUAAUUGUAUGCUCCAAGGAAUGUAUGCCACCCAGAACAACUGGUCUGUCCCAGAGAAAUAGUACAACACUUCCGAAACGGAAGAAAAGCCUGACUUCUACUGACUUCAGUCUUCUUUUGCAAGUGGGACUUCCCACUGAGAAUCUAAAUAUGCAUCAGAUGUCUAAAAACAGUAAAUCAUUUAAGGGUUUUAACUAGGAAAAUAGUUCAGCAGCCCUUAUGAAUUAUUACUUUUUCACAUUAUUGCAAUUAAAAAUCCUCAUUUUCUCAGUGUUUGCAUAAGCAAAGUGGUUUGCCUACGGUGAAUGCAGCUCCACUGAAGGAUGUGAUACCUACUCUGCAUUGGUGCUCUCUGUUCCAAUGGGUGCAACUCUGCCAAUACUGCAGAAAUUUGAGGAUGCUUUUCUCUGAAGCAGUAGUGUUUAAAAUUUCAUCCUGUCCAUUAGAUUGCUCCAGAAUUAGCCUUGUAAGUACAUCUGAGUUCUGUGGCAUCAUGUUGCACUAAAAGCCAGUCUCUGAGAUGAGGGACUCAGGCAGUUUAUUUAUAGUUCAGAAGGUCAAAUAGUUGCCUUAAUUGGAAAACACCACUCACCAGUCUCUGAGCGUAUUGAUGUACUUUGCAUUCGAUGCCAUUAGUUACUUGUGUGAGUUUCUAAUAUCACCUUUGUUAAUAAGAUACAUUCUCCAUAAUGGGCUGCUUGCAGGUUCCAAGAGCCAUUUAUAUGCUAAGUUUGACAAGUUAGAUGAUGCUAAACCCAUACUGAAAGCAAUAGCUGUCAGAACUGUACCUGGGUGCCAGGCAGAUGUCUGUGACCUUCAAACUGUUUUGGGAUGGGAUGUGCUAAAUCCCGUCUGUAUGGUAUGUGACCAGGCAGCAAAGGUAUUUCUUCAAAUAUAUCUUGAAUUCCUGCCAGAAAAGUUGUAUAUAAACCUCACAGCAAAAGUUUGAUGGACUUGGCUUGUAGUAGAAGGAAGGUGAAAUAAAGUCACAGAAUCACAGAAGUUGGAAGGGACCUCAAGAGAUCAUUGAGUCCAACCCGCUGCCAAAGCAGGUGCCCUACAACAGGUCACACAGGUUGGUGUCCAGACAGGACUUGAAUAUCUCCAGAGAAGGAGAAGGCAAGGUGCUCCCAACAUGUCUGAAUUAAAGCAUACGAUAGCAAACACACUGAGUGAUUUGAGAGACCUGAAGAUCUCUCAUCCAUAGAGAUGCAGAUUAGGGAAAAAAAACCACAAAAACAAACCUCUUCUCAACGCAAAGGAAACUAUCUUAAAGAAGUCUAAAAAAUUCCUCUUGAUUUCACUUCUGCUGUUCCCACACUUUCCCUUGCCUACUAUUGUUGCUGAAGGUCAUGUCAAGUUUUACAUGUAGUAUGGCCCAGUAGACACAUGAUCUUAACCAUAGGAGGAAGGCAAAAUGUUAAUGUUCAUUGUGUGGAUUUAUGUAGGAAGGGAGCAAGGAAGAGGAUUAAUAUGGAGGUGGCUAAUGCUGGGACUACUCCAAGUUUCUCUGGAAUCGAGCUCAGGAUGGCAUAUACAAAUAGGAAUCACACCUCUGGUUUGAUGUGAGGGGGUGUGACUAGUGAAGUUGCUGAUGUGAAGUUUUCUGGGUCCCUUAAGAGGUUAGGGGAGAAUAAGGCUAAUAUUAGGAAGGGGAUAAAGGCAUGGGCUGAGAUGUGAAGGAAAGCUAGUUGUGAGAGAUCAAGUCCAGUGGUGACUAUUAUUAAGCUUAGCUGGCUGGAGGUGAACCUGAGGAUGUCUUUUAAUGAGAAGUAGUGAUAGAAGGGAUGGGUUGGGAGGUGAAUUAGGGAAUUGCUGACUAUUUUUAGUAGGGGAUGGGAUUUUCAGAUGUUGAGGGCCAUUAUUUUAUUAUCUAUGGGCUGAUAGAUUAAUUAUUAACAUUGAUAGAGUGAAGAAUCCUCAGUAGGUUUUGAUUAAGCCUGUGGAAUGUAGUUGUGAUUUUGCUUGCUGUCAGGUGGAGGUUAGCAAAGCCUUUGGGGCCUAUUUUCUUGUGUCAGGAUAUAUCGAUUAGGUGAAAGGCAAUUUUUUGUCCUUUAUUUAGUAGGUCUGUACAGCUGGAUCAGAGCAUUAGGGAGCUUAAAGUAGCCUAAGGAGGAGAAGUUUCUAAGGGUACUUUGUUUUAAGGGGAAGGUAAAGGUGUGGGUUAUAUUUGAAGUUCUAGAACUAGAAUAAUUCUGAGAAUUGUGAGCACAUAUAUAUGUAUUUUUAUAUAUAUAUAUAUAUGUAUAUAUAAACACUAAUAACCCAAUGAAACAUCCUACCAGUCCAAAUCACAUCCAUCCAAAACUCUAUCAUUUAUCAUAAACUUCAUAAUCCCCCUAACCUUAAAAAUAGACCCAUGCUCAAUACUAUUUUUCCAAUUGCAUAAUUUGUAACUUGAUCAAUCCUGGAAUUUGUAACAUGAUGCAUAGCCUCAGAACCAUGUAUCAAGAAAUUCUUCACCUAUCUUCUUUACGUCCGAAUUGCCAUACUAACCAUUGCAAACAGCAUAUUCCUUCUUUUGUAGGCUGAGAGGAAUUAUGUCAUUCCUAUUCAUUGGCUGAUGACAAUGUCAAGCCAAAACUAACACAGCAGCAUUAAAAGCUGUAGUCUACCACCAGAUUGAAGAUAUAUAAGGCAAUGUAAUAUAACACAAAAUAGAGAUAAGCAUGUGAGUUUUUAACACUUGAAUUCAGUACUGUGCAGUACAAAGUACAAAGGAUCUAAGUAGAGUAAAUUUAAAUUUAAGAAGGUAAGCAGUUUUAGUUAGUUUAAAAUGGCAGGCUGGAGUAUUUAUUUGAUAAAAAGUCAUUCAAGUAUUUGACAGAAAGUCAUAGAAAUGAAAAAGCUAGACAUAACUGUUUUUAAAACAGCAUAACAACAUAAAAUGGGAAGAAGAGAGACUGAGAUUGUACUAUUAAUGUUUUCAUGAAGAAACAAAACACCAGACUUAAACAAGCAAACUCUAGUGGAGGAAAUAGAAACCCUAUUUUCUGCGGAGUGUGCAGUGAGACAUAAUGGCUGUAUAACUUCUAAAAGUUUAUAGUUUAGUGGUGCAGGCUCAGAAUAAAAGAAUUCAAUAGCAAAAUGAGUCAACACUUAAACCUAAAUUGUAAUUUAUAAGGGACUCUCUUCUCACGCAAAUCAAAUUUGGAAGCAGAAUAAUGUCUUCUGAUAGCGAGGCAGUAUUUGCUGAAUGUUCUGGGUGGCAGUUUGCAAUACACAGACAUUUGAAAUUACAUUUAUAAAAUAAAUGUUCAAUUCAAAACAAUUUUUAGCCUAUUUGCUGACACAUAAUACAAAAUUGUUGCUACACUAUAUAUUUCUUCAUAUAAGGCAUUGCAACACGCAGACAGUAAUGAAAAAUGGAGGCAACAGAGUUCUUGCAAAUGAAAGCAAGAAUGUAACUCUGUUCUUCCUGCUUCCCACCAGGGAAUGGUGGCUUCCAAAACACUGGAAAACAAGGCAGUUGGUGAGAAAGUCUCAGAAUUGACUCCAUGUGUUAAAAAAAGAAGGCCAAACAAAGCCAAGAGUGGUCACUCCCUGGCAUGUGCACCCUGCCUGAUACUUCAGGGAGAACAGAGUCACAUGGGCCUACACAUCACUGUCUCUCUCCUUCACUCUGCAUCUGCCAGGACAGAUGCAAUAAGGAUGCUGGUGCAUAUUGAAGCUCUGCUCUUCCAGUGGAUCUCAGCAGAAUGCACACUGAAAUUUCUCAUAGCUGAUGUACUCUCCUCACAGCUUAGAAGCCCCACUCACAGCAUCACAUAACAGUCCAGACUGAAAGGGACCAUAAAGCCCACUCAGGCCCAACCCACUGCCAUGGCCUGGCUGCCCCCUCCAGCUCAGGCUGCCCAGGGGCCAAUCCAACCUGUCCUUGAGUGCCUCCAGGGAUGGGGCACCACAACUUCUCCGGGCAGCUGUGCCAGGGCCUCACUGCCCUCUGAGUAAGGAAUUUCAUCCUAACAUCUAACCUAAAUCAUGAGUUUUUCGGUUCAAAACUAUCACUCCUUUUCCUAUCACUAUCACUGCAAACUGUCUAAGAGUGCACUCAGCCCCACUGUCCAUGUCAAUGAGAGAUGUUCAGUAGUGCCAGUCCCAACACACACCCCUGAGGAACACCUCUUGUUACUUUUCUCCACCUGGACAUCAAGCCAUUGACCUCAGUUCUUUGAGUGAGACCAUCCGGCUGAUUUGGUCUGCAGCUGCUAGUAUUGUUUGUGUAUCCCCAGUAAGUUCACAAUCCAUACAAAAACAUUCAGACUUUGAUUAAGUCUUGCAAUGCAAAUCUAGGACAACGUUAGAUAAACUGAAUUUGCAUGUGAAAUUAAAUAGCACUAGGGACACUGUUCUGAGUUACGAAUUUUCACUUUUCAUUUAAUUAAGAACUUGUACUUUCAAAGUAACCUGAAUCUAUCACAUAAUCUCCAGUAGUACGCACCACAGUGCUGCAAGAACUGUGAACCUUUUAGCUAAACUUUAGAAUAGCAUGGCAUAAGCAUAGCAUAGUUCAGUUGGAAGAGACCUUCAGACAUCAUCUAGUCCAAGUGUCUGACCUCAUCAGGGCUAAACAAGAGUUAAGUUAAUGAAAGCAUCAUCCAAAUGCCUCUUGAACAUGGGACAUCAACCACCUCUCUAAGUAGCCUGUUCCAGUGUCUGAUUGCACUCACAGCAAAGACAUUUUUCCUGAUGUCCGGUCUAAUCCUCCCAUGGCACAGCUUGUGCUGUUCCCAUCCAGUUCCUAGGAGCAGAGCCAGGUAACUCCCUCUCCAUUCCCCUCCUCAGGGAGCUGCAGAGAGCAGUGAGGUCACCUCUUGGCCUCCCAUUCUCCAGACUAGACAACCCCAGUGUCCUCAGCCUCUGCUCACAGCACAUGCCUUACAACCCUGUUACCAGCUUUGUUGUUCUCUGGAUGCUUUCAAGGACCUCAUCAUCCGUUCCGUAUUGUGGAGCCCAGAACUGCACACAGCACUCCAGGUGAGGCCACACCAUUGCUAGAGAUACAGUGGGAUAAGCAGCUCUUUUGACCAGCUGGUCAUGCUGUGUUUAUUGCACCUCCAAGGGCAGUUUGCCCAUUUGACUGCCAGGGCACACUGCUGGCUCAUGCUGAGCCUGCUGUCACCAGCACCCCAAGGAACCUUCAUGCUGAGCUGCUCUCCAGCCACUCCUUUCCCAUCUGU